ACUAAGUUGGUUCCAUUGCCGGUAUUUCUGUUUUCUGACUUCAUUCAAUAUAUGUACAGGAGACCGGCAAGAUCACAGUCACCGAUUAUGUGAGAGUGACAAGCACAGAAUGUGCCAAGAUCUUCAACAUAUACCCUCGCAAAGGAGCAAUCCUCGAGGGAUCUGAUGCAGACAUCAUCAUCCUGAACCCCAAGAGGAGCUUCGCGAUGGGCACGCGCACACACCAUUCGAGGUCCGACACGAACGUGUACGAGGGCAGAAAAGGAAAGGGAAUGGUAGAGGUGACCAUCUCAAGAGGGCGAGUGGUGUGGGAGGAUGGCUUGAACAAAGGAAACUGUG